GAUGAACGCUGGCGGCGUGCCUAGUACAUGCAAGUCGAGCGAAUGGAUUAAGAGCUUGCUCUUAUGAAGUUAGCGGCGGACGGGUGAGUAACACGUGGGUAACCUGCCCAUAAGACUGGGAUAACUCCGGGAAACCGGGGCUAAUACCGGAUAAUAUUUUGAACUGCAUGGUUCAAAAUUGAAAGGCGGCUUCGGCUGUCACUUAUGGAUGGCCCCGCGUCGCAUUAGCCAGUUGGUGAGGUAACGGCUCACCAAGGCAACGAUGCGUAGCCGACCUGAGAGGGUGAUCGGCCACACUGGGACUGAGACACGGCCCAGACUCCUACGGGAGGCAGCAGUAGGGAAUCUUCCGCAAUGGACGAAAGUCUGACGGAGCAACGCCGCGUGAGUGAUUAAGGCUUUCGGGUCGUAAAACUCUGUUGUUAGGGAAGAACAAGUGCUAGUUGAAUAAGCUGACACCUUGACGGUACCUAACCAGAAAGCCACGGCUAACUACGUGCCAGCAGCCGCAGUAA
rnacentral:rRNA from 1 species